rnacentral:tRNA from 1 species
AGCUGGGGCGAGGAGGCCUUCUACGUUGAAGACGUAGAUGAGGCUCGCGCGCUGCUGCAAGAGCAGCUUCAGCCA